rnacentral:rRNA from 1 species
AACGCUGGCGGCGUGGCUAAGACAUGCAAGUCGAACGGAAUAUAUGAUUGAGUAAUCAUGACUAUAUUUAGUGGCGAAAGGGCGAGGAAUAAAUAGGUAACGUACCCCGAACAUCAGAAUAGUGUCUGGAUGCUUGCAUCCUACCGAAAGGGGCAGUAAUACUGUAUAAUAUCUUUUGACGCAAGUUAAAUGAUCAAAGAUUUAUCGGUUUGGGAGCGGCCUAUUUCCCAUCAGCUUGUUGGUAAGGUAAUGGCUUACCAAGGCUACGACGGGUAUCGGGACUGAGAGGUUGACCCGACGCAUCGGAACUGAGACACUGUCCGGACCUCCACGGAGGGCUGCAGUAACGAAUAUUGCACAAUGAACGAAAGUUUGAUGCAGCAACGCCGCGUGUAGGAUGAAGCUCCUUGGAGUGUAAACUACUGUCAGGGGUUAGAAAGUGCGCUUAGGCGCAUUGAUCAGCCCCAGAGGAAGUCACGGCUAACUUCGUGCCAGCAGCCGCGGUAAUACGAAGGUGGCGAGCGUUGUUCGGAAUUAUUGGGCUUAAAGAGCACGUAGGCGGACCAGAAAGUGUCUUGUGAAAACCCCCGGCUUAACCGGGGAAUUGCUUGGCAAACUUCUAGGUCUUGAGUCAAGUAGGGGUACAUGGAACUCUUAGUGGAGCGGUGGAAUGCGUAGAUAUUAAGAGGAACGCCAAUGGUGAAGACAGUGUACUGGGCUUGUACUGACGCUGAGGUGCGAAAGCGUGG